rnacentral:SRP_RNA from 1 species
GCUGGGUGCGAUGGCGCAUGCCUGUAGUCCCAGCUACUUGGGAGGCUGAGGUGGGAGGACUGCUUGAGCCCAGGAGUUCUGGGCGAUCAGGUGUCCGCACUAAGUUCGGCAUCAAUAUGGUGACCUCCCGGGAGUGGGGGACCACCAAGUUGCCUAGGAGGGGUGAAACAGCCCAGGUCGGAAACGGAGCAGGUCAAAACUCCAGUGCUGAUCAGUACUGGGAUUGCUCCUGUGAAGCCACUGCACUCCAGCCUGGGCAACACAGCGAGACCCCGUCUCU